GACGUAGGAGGCGAGCGUUGUCCGGAUUCAUUGGGCGUAAAGAGCUCGUAGGCGGUUUGUCGCGUCUGCCGUGAAAGUCCGGGGCUCAACUCCGGAUCUGCGGUGGGUACGGGCAGACUAGAGUGAUGUAGGGGAGACUGGAAUUCCUGGUGUAGCGGUGAAAUGCGCAGAUAUCAGGAGGAACACCGAUGGCGAAGGCAGGUCUCUGGGCAUUACCUGACGCUGAGGAGCGAAAGUGUGGGGAGCGAACAGG
rnacentral:rRNA from 1 species